rnacentral:rRNA from 1 species
UACGAAGGGGGCUAGCGUUGCUCGGAAUUACUGGGCGUAAAGGGCGCGUAGGCGGAUACUUAAGUCGGGGGUGAAAGCCCGGGGCUCAACCUCGGAAUUGCCUUCGAUACUGGGUAUCUUGAGUUCGGGAGAGGUGAGUGGAAUGCCGAGUGUAGAGGUGAAAUUCGUAGAUAUUCGGAAGAACACCAGUGGCGAAGGCGACUUACUGGACACAUAUUGACGCUGAGGUGCGAAAGCGUGGGGAGCAAAC